rnacentral:rRNA from 1 species
GUGGGGAAUUUUGGACAAUGGGCGAAAGCCUGAUCCAGCCAUGCCGCGUGCAGGAUGAAGGCCUUCGGGUUGUAAAGCUCUUUCGUCAGGAACGAAACGGCGGGCUCUAACAUAGCCUGUUAAUGACGGUACCUGAAGAAGAAGCACCGGCUAACUACGUGCCAGCAGCCGCGGUAAUACGUAGGGUGCGAGCGUUAAUCGGAAUUACUGGGCGUAAAGCGUGCGCAGGCGGAUUGUUAAGCAAGACGUGAAAUCACCGGGCUUAACCUGGGAAUGGCGUUUUGAACUGGCAGUCUAGAGUGCGUCAGAGGGGGGUGGAAUUCCACGUGUAGCAGUGAAAUGCGUAGAGAUGUGGAGGAACACCGAUGGCGAAGGCAGCCCCCUGGGAUGACACUGACGCUCAUGUACGAAAGCGUGGGUAGCAAACAGGAUUAGAUACCCUGGUAGUCC